UGCACUUAAUGGCAGCCAAUCAGAGCGCAGUAUCAGUCCUAAUAGGAUUCAGACAUCCUGUCCAACAGCAGGACUAUUCAGCCCUUGAUGUGACGCAGUCAAAGAGCAGUGGGUGAUUAUUUACAGAGCGGCGGUGCUGGACUGACCUGCUGUCUGAUUAGUGACUCAUCACAGCGGAGGGAGAAAUCUACAGUAUUGGGAUUCCCCCUAUUAGCAGCUUCUGCAGGUUUACAAUGUGCUAAUAUUUUACAUGCACACACUGCGCAUUUACAGGCUGCAGACUUGAGAAGCUCUGUGUUUGGUGUCCAGCAGCUCCCGAGGGAAACAUCUGGCUCUUCAGCUGCUAGACGCUCCACUGUGUUCCCCAGCUGCUCUCUGACUGCGUCAGGUAGCUGGGCAGGUAGUGUUCAGCAGAGAUGUUCUUGUCACACUUACUGAUCAGAGGUCAUUUCUAGCUUUUUGAAGGCAGUACAGUACUCUGCCGUACAGUAACCUCUGGCCACAACUGUUUACAGCCUGUCGCCACGUUUCAUUUCUAAAAGGAAACCCCCUUCUUCCCUCCACCCUCCUGUUCUGGCCCCGCUCUCUUCAGAUGCCUUUCUCAGCUGCACUUUAUGACUCAAAGCAGCACGACAGGAAUCAGAUGAGCAGCUUUUUCUGACCGCCUCAUCCCAGAUUAGUGACAGUGUGAAAGAGCAUGGCAGGAAAGGAGGCAACACGGAUAUUUGCUUUGAAGCCGGUCCCAGGUUCCUCCGGGUGCUCCCUCCCAGCCAGACACAACUGGACAGCACCAACAGCCAGACAUUCCAACCUGAUAUGCAUGCGGAUACAGCUUCCUCUCUGCUUUCUAGAGUAUUGAGCUGAACUAAAGAGAUAUUGCACCAUACUGCAGCAGUCAGAGCAGUAUUGGAAAGUGAUUACGGGAUUGAAGCCUGCCUGCAGCAUUUUUUUUAUUCAGAGACUCACUGGAGUGGCCCUGAUGUGUUGCAAUCCCUGCUGUCGUUCAGCUCUGCAGGAAAUUCAGAUUGGUGUCAUUUCAUCGAGACGGUCGCUAGGUGAAUUAGUAGAGAGGAGGUGACACAAUGAAAGGAGAGCAGGCCGGUAACGCUUGUCUGCCAUGACAGCAAAGCGAUCCGGUAUCUGGAGGUUCAUUUCUGCAUUAUGAAAGCAGUUGGUGGGUAAAAUAGUGAAUAUAGCUGGUUUAUUUCUGGAUGCUGGUAAUUUACAGCUAUUAAAUUAAGUGUAAUUAAAAUACAUUUAGACUCAAUUAAGUCUUGCCUGUCAUGUACAGUUAAAGGCAGUAUUAAUAUGACAGUAUUUCAAAUUAUUUUACAGCCCACAAAUUUACUACUUUGCUUCAGUCCAUGUGUCCUCAUCAGUGACAUUUCCAGCCACAGCAGACAGCUGUUCUCUGCAAAACCAAACACAGUGGAGCAUGUAGCGGCAAAAGACCAGGUAUACUUCUUAACAGUUGGUAAAGACCAAGACAGAGCUAAAAGAGAGUGAAUACUGGACUUGAGUGUGUAGGGUCACCAGAAACUCGUCUCCAAAUGAAAGCUAAUGUUGCUACGUGUCUGUGGGAAUUGAAACUGUUUGCUAACAUGUUAGCCAUAUUCACUUUAUAAGGCCAUAUGUCAAACAACUUUGAUCUGCAAAGUAACUUGUAAUAUAAAAAGCCCAAUCCUUCUCUCUGAAAUGUAUUCAAGUAUAAAGCACCGGAAAAUGGAAAUACUAAUACUAGUAAAGUACGAGCACCUAAGAAGAUCUGUACUUAAAGCUGCAUUCAUAGAUUUCUGGCCACUUGAGGGCAGCAGAACACGCUGAAAACACGUGAUUUACAGUAUUAUCAAGUUGUUGUGAUGAACAUGUAUAUGUAACAACUAUAUUUACACAUCCAGCAGACACAGAGCAAAAUUAGUAUUCAUUUGGAGUCGUGUUUGUGGCCAGUUAGUGAAUGCGAGUCCACACUGUUCGCUCUCCUUUUAGGUCUCCUGAGAGAAAUAUGUGUCUUUAGCUGCUAAAUGCUCCAGUAUGUUGCUCUCUAACGGUUUGGUGCAGGGCUGUCACUGUUAAUGUAAAAAAUAAUGACGUGUGCAGCUUUAAGUACAGUUCUUGAGUAAAUGUUCUUAAUUACUUUCCACCAAUGGUGUGAAGUUACAGGCAGAUGUCUUAAUGGGACCAUAUCAUUCCACACAAUAAGGUUAUUAUAGCACUAUGUCAAAUGGCAGUGGGUGUUAAAAAUAACAAUAAUAAUUAUUGAAUUCCAACACUUGUGUAUGAGCCCAGUUAUUACUGUAGCUCCCAUUCUGCCAUAAUCUCUCAUAAUUGCAGUAACAGUUCUUUUCAAUAAGCAGCGCUUAAAUAACAACAAAGCAAAUAAUUCAGCAUUUUCAGUUUAUGCUUUUUAUUUUUGCAAAUAGGAAAAUAGCAUUUCUGGUAUUCAAAAAAAAUAAAACAGCCUGUGUUCCACCAGAUACACGGGCAGGACUAAGAGAGAGAAACAGAGAAGAGAGAGAACUGGAUGAUGAUGAUGAUGAUGAUGAUUAUUAGGGAAUACAGGUCUGGAUGUAGGUCAGUAGAAGCAGCCUGGGGAGGCUCAGACACAAAGACAGCAUUGGUUCAGACAGAUAAACACACAUCUGCCCGUCUGUCUGCUUUGAAUGGGUUUCUACAUUAGUAAGCAUAGUUGUUUUUAAAGAGUGAAACCUAAUGUAUCCACAAUGCUAAGAGACAAAGAUAUGAGAGUGCUUGCUGCGUAAAUGACAAUGUGCACGGCUACAUGCAGAAGUGCUCUACAUUUGAGUUUAUCCAAAAGCACCGAUGUUGCUCAAGCUACGCUUAGAUUGCCGGUAGCCUACGGUUUGUAGGAAGUGUCUGCUGGUUCAACAGAGACAGUCCAGCCAUGUGAAGCGUUAUGCUGUCAGGUAUACAGUGUCUUCAUGUGAAGCACUGGUAGGUUAACAAGCACCAAAGUGUUGAGAUCAAAUAACAAACGAUAAUAGUGACUGCACUGCGCAGUCUGCGUCUGCGGGGGGGGGCAUUUUACGGCUCCAAUACAUUUUAUGGAACUGCCAUAAGAGCACAAUGACUGUUUCUCACUUUCCACUAACACAAGUGCACUUGAGACCAGCAGACUCAGCUUAAUGGUUUGUGAAUAGGUAGAGUGGGACUCCAAAUCCCAGA